ACUUACAGAUGAAGAAAGAAUGGAGAGACUGUGGUCGUUCCUCAGAAGGUUUGCCAGAGUAACAAAGGAGAUGACUCCAUCUCACCGACUGGAUCUGCUUACAGAUGCCCUUCUUCAUUAUGCAUGGUUUGUCAGCUAAUUUACUCAGUCAGAAAUUUAGUUUGGUAGUAGUUUAAAGGGGACCUAUUAUCCUUUUAGAUUUUUUUUCCCUUUCCUUUAGUGUGUUAUAGGGGUGGGGGGGUAGAUUCUUAGAUACAUCGCGAUGCGGACGUGGAUGAUUCUAAAUCGAUUCACAAAUAUCAAAUCGAUUUUCUAAAUUUUAAUAACAUAAUGUUGACAGAACACAAUAGGCGGAACUUUGCGAAGUGCAGAAGAGCAUCGAUACGAGCAGCUGUAGAUACCACACCGGUAUCUACAGCUGCUCAGGAGAGAAGGGUCUGUCUGCUAGUGAUGUUACGUUUGUGAACAACUCAGUUCUUUUCAGCAGGAGCCCAAUCGUACUGUUUGAGCUGUUCUUUUUAUUGUUGUGCGCAAACUUCACUACCUGCCCUAAACUGUACUUCGCUCCCCACUGAACAGUGAGAACCAGCCCAUCAUGGGAGACAGUGUCACGUUAGACUUUUUAAAGGCAGAAUGAGCUGGAUUUCUGUUGCUGUUUAAACACCAUUCAAAGUUGACAGACAGCGCAGUGGUGGUCGAGCAAGCUAGAGACUGAAUGAAGAGAGGGAGCAAUGUUAGUGAGACAAGGCAGUAAUUUCAGAGGAAUAAAACUUCCUCUGAUUGUUUCACGGCGGUUAUGGUCUAACGCCUCCGCACAACCCUGUGGGAAGAAUUUCAUGUGAAUGCUGUCUGCUGCUGUGGCCUCUCUUUGCUCUGCAUGCCCUGGUCUGCAGACCGCAAGAUGGGUGGAACCGCUCUGGAGGUUCACUUGUUGGAGCGGAGUUGGUGAGUUGACCAAUUAGAGUACACUGGGCUCACUGGGAGGCAGAGCUGAAUAGAAAUAUACAGUAUGAGGAAAAUUAUUUAUUUUUGAAACAUUUAAAUCUAUUCUACUAGACCCCAAAAAUAAAAUUAUGAACAUUAAUAAUGAGCAUUAUAGGUCCCCUUUGAAUUUAGUUUUAUUGUCUGUCCAGUCACAAAUUUUAUAACAUGCAGCUCCUGCAGAGAGUUGAAAAGGCAGAGAAAAUGUCUGUUCUUGCUGCUGAAGAAAUCUCAUUAGUAAUCAAAGAGGCACCAGGUAAACCUUGCACAUACAAUACGUAUGUCAAACAAUGAGUGUUCAGUUUCAGAAUGGGUCGCAUGCUUAUGGACACACUGCGUGCAGAGUUGAGUAUGCCACCUUGACAGUUUCUGUUCUUUACUUUUGUUAAAUUCUAGUGUUGAUUACUGAGCGAGACAUGGAGAGAUGGAAGAAGACAGAGACUGAGCUUGCCCAACAGAAACCAAAGCCUAAAAGUCUGGGGGUGAUCAAUCGUGUAUGGCAGAUAAAGCAGAACUUGAGGCAUCUUUGCUGAAUUUGGAGAAAAAACACUGUAUUGAAAGAAGAUGGCAGGAAUGCAAUUCAAACUUCCAGUCUAGCCUGAAAGAUGUUGACAGUGACUUCAGAGGACAACUCAUCUGCAAAGCUAGAACUGAAGCAACUGAACAUUUUCAAUGUACCAAACCAGCUUUAUUACUAAUUUCUUUAAACAGAAAUUUAAUAGCGGAAAAACACCAGGUAAAGUGCAAACAGGCUUAUAGUUCUGUUGAUCUUAUUUUAGCCUUUGUGAACAUGUACUAAAGUCCAGCUAUGUUAUUAAAUGAAGCAGAACAUGUUACAUGGUAAUUCCAUAAGUCAUUAGAAUUCAUUUGCGCUGGCAGAGAUAACACAUUUUGUUUGAAAUGAGAGGCAGUAUGUGACCAUAACUGACAGACAGAACACAGAGCGCCACUUCAUUGUAGCAUUCUUCUUCUCGUCAGCAAAGUGGUUUUUGCAGAUGCAGCAAAGGUUGCUUGAAUCUGAAAGGUUAAACAAAUACAUGGUAGCAAAUACUUAAUUUUAAUUUGCAACAUAAAUAUGCAAGUGCAUCAAUGUAUAAAGUGUACAAAUAAAUCCUUCACAAUUAA